CGCGAAGUCACGCCAGCUGCAUCCGACGCGAGCUGCUCUGUGAGCGUUUCCUACUCGGCCUUCUCUCGCCUCGCCCUACCAUUUGAAACACCACACGUGUUCCGGUGCUGCUCGCGUAACUUCGACGGCGUGGUCCACUGGGACGAUAACGGGGAGUACGUCCAGUGUCCACUACAGCUCUAGCCACAGCUGUGCUUCGCUGAAGGCCCGCAGUGAGAGGAGGGGGCUGCGGCCAUGUGGU